GCCGGGUUAGCUCAGUGGUAGAGCGAAGCACUUGUAAUGCUUAGGUCGUGGGUUCGACUCCCGCACUCGGCU
rnacentral:tRNA from 1 species